ensembl:lncRNA
GUUGUCUCAAGCCAGCUAGCAUCUACAGGCAUUUCCUACACACUGGGUCCUGUUACCCUCGAACAUCAGGGAGUUUACACAUGUGUUGGUGAGAGUUUGCCUGUUCUUGGUAAUCUCUGGCAUAAGAUCAUCUGGGUAGCUGAUGACUCUCCAAUUGUGUCCAUUGAUGUUUAAGUCCCAAACGGGCUCAGUUCUUCUUUGGUGAAAUGGCAACUUUGGCCUGCCAGCUGCCAAAUGAUCAAUCCCAGUGGAAAUUAAGUGGUUUGACAGUCACAGCGGAAAAAUCGAAGAAUGUAGGUCACUGAACUUGUCUUCCAACCGCCUCCUGACCUGCAAAGUUGAUACAGGGCUGCCCUCCUCUCACAAGCUGUACUGGUGUGAGUCUGAAAAGGGGGAGAGGAGCAAUGCUCUCAACAUCACCAACAAUGACUACAUUGUCUUUCUCUAUAC